rnacentral:rRNA from 1 species
CUCCUUUGACGUUAGCGGCGGACGGGUGAGUAACACGUGGGUAACCUACCUAUAAGACUGGGAUAACUUCGGGAAACCGGAGCUAAUACCGGAUAACAUUUGGAACCGCAUGGUUCUAAAGUGAAAGAUGGUUUUGCUAUCACUUAUAGAUGGACCCGCGCCGUAUUAGCUAGUUGGUAAGGUAACGGCUUACCAAGGCAACGAUACGUAGCCGACCUGAGAGGGUGAUCGGCCACACUGGGACUGAGAUACGGCCCAG